GACGAACGCUGGCGGCGUGCUUAACACAUGCAAGUCGAACGGAAAGGCCCGGCGUUUGCGGGGUGCUCGAGUGGCGAACAGGUGAGUAACACGUGAGUAACAUGCCCUUGACUGUGGGAUAACUUCAGGAAACUGGGGCUAAUACCGGAUAGGAGCUCCUGCUGCAUGGGGGGGGUUGGAAAGAUUCGGCGGUUGGGGAUGGACUCGCGGCUUAUCAGCUUGAUGGUGGGGUAGUGGCUUACCAAGGCUUUGACGGGUAGCCGGCCUGAGAGGGUGACCGGCCACAUUGGGACUGAGAUACGGCCCAGACUCCUACGGGAGGCAGCAGUGGGGAAUAUUGCACAAUGGGCGGAAGCCUGAUGCAGCAACGCCGCGUGCGGGAUGACGGCCUUCGGGUUGUAAACCGCUUUCGCCUGUGACGAAGCGUGAGUGACGGUAAUGGGUAAAGAAGCACCGGCUAACUACGUG
rnacentral:rRNA from 1 species